rnacentral:rRNA from 1 species
UACGUAGGGGGCAAGCGUUGUCCGGAAUCAUUGGGCGUAAAGAGCGUGUAGGCGGUCCGGUAAGUCCGCUGUGAAAGUCGGGGGCUCAACCCUCGAAUGCCGGUGGAUACUGUCGGGCUAGAGUGCGGAAGAGGCGAGUGGAAUUCCUGGUGUAGCGGUGAAAUGCGCAGAUAUCAGGAGGAACACCAAUUGCGAAGGCAGCUCGCUGGGACGUUACUGACGCUGAGACGCGAAAGCGUGGGGAGCAAACAGG